ACUAAUCUAUAACAUAACAAGCUCAAUUUCUAUGCAUCCAAACAAUAUAUAUUUAUUUCUGGCUCAUUUCACUGUCUACGGCAUAUCAAGGCAACAUAAAUGAAGCAAGAACACAAAGUGCUUUCACCUUACUGCUCCUUCAUUUUUUGUAUAUAAGAAAUCUUUUUAUUCUUCUAUGUGCUGAGAAAGCAAGCAGAAAAGACACAGAAGAAGUUAGACAUAGAGAUCAGGACUCGUGAUCUUUCUAGAGCAGUUACUCAGGAAGUUUAAAUUGGAGAAUCACUUCAACCCAGGGUUAUGACUUCAGUGUAGGCAACAUAGUGAGGCCACACAUCACAAAAAGACAGAGGAGGGGAAUGGAGCAGGGGAGAGAAUGGAGGAGAGAGGAUAAAGUAAAGGAAAAAAAAGAAAAAAGAAAAGAUCCAAAUAGAGUGUAUACACACACACACACACACACACACACACACACACACAUCAAACCCAGGGUAAAGCUGUAGCUCACAGUUAGAGUAUUGGACUAGCCUAUACACGACUUCAAUUCUAUCCCCAGCACAUAUUGUUUUAUUUUGUUUUAAAUUCUGAAUCUCAAAAUGGACAAAAAACACUUCUAAUCCUACCACACUUCUAGAAUUAAAUGAAAUAAUUACACUUAGGUGUACAUAGGGUUGAAAUUAAUUGGACAUAAUGGCUAAGCAGAAAUUUUACUCUAGUAUAAACUAGUGUAAAUAAAUAAGGAAAUUUUGUUAGCUCUAUGAAGGUUUUCUUGAAAAGACUCAUGCUUUCUGAUCUUGUUCACAAUUAUCUAAUAAAAUCAGACAACACAAUCAGUCCAUGUGA
rnacentral:lncRNA from 1 species